GGUUAUAGAAACCCUGAUUGAUAGCCAGCUGGUCAAGAAGUAUAGGUGACAACCUGAGACUUGCAAUCGGCAUUUGGAUUGGAGGGGUGGCAGUCUUAUAGGACUGAGCCCUUAACCUGUGGGGUCUGACAGUAUCUCCAGGUAGUGUCAGAACUGAGCUAAACUGUGGGACACCCACCUGGUUUUGGAGGAUCGCUUGAAGCGUGGAAACAGGCCCCACACAUUGGUGAAUGGAAGCGGAGUGUAGCGGUAGCAUGUGAGAAAGAAGAAAUGCAGGAGUGUUUUCUUACGCAGUUAUUUUAAACUACUUUUGGACAAUUUUUUAAUAGAGAAUAGCAAUAGAUAACUAACACGUCAAGCGAACGCAGGAAGCUUCAUGAAGGGGCAGGGGAGAGAACCCGGGCAGGUGUGACACCCAGAGACCCACCACCACUUGGUAGACAGACCAGCAUUUGUGGGGAUGGCGCCCUGUGCAUUCAGGCGUGCCCUUGCGUGUGCUGUGGGUGGUAUUGUUCUCCUCGUUGUGCAUGUGAGGAAAUGGGCUCAGUAGGUCAGACCCUGACCAGGGCUGCAGGCUGGUAGGUGGUGGAGCCAGGACUCAAGCCUAGCUCGUCUGCCCUUGUCCGUGCUCUCCCACUCUUCCACGCCGCUUCAGUGAUCUUGGUGACCUUGAGUAAGCCCCUGUCCUUCUGAGAGUUUUUCGCAGAACUCGAACAGGUCCCUUGCGUGUCCAUGAGAAGACCGAGCCUCAUGCUCCCUGGCCCUGGGUGCUCUGAUGCAGGGACGUGAGCACUGCCCCAACAGCCUGUGCUGUGUCGGGUGCCUGGAACAGGGCAGCCCUGCGUGCUGAAGAUGUAGUGUGCCAAGGAUGAGGGCCUGCAGUUCGGCUUUGGGGGCCCCGUGCAAACUUCAGAGCCCUCAGCAGCACUCCCCACACCACCCCUGCUUUCCCCGCUGGCCACACAGACGAACAUACCCCGGCCUGCUUGCCAUUAUGCUGUCAUCAGCAACCCUGUCCUUGGCCUAGCCCCUCUCUUCACCUCCCCCCACACAGAUGCCAUCACUGGGCAUUUGUUCAAGAAACAUUGCUCAGGGUGACAAAUCAAAGUGAUGAGCCACGCUGUCACCUGGAGCCUCAGGCGUGAGGCUCUCACCACUUACAGGGACAUCAUGCGGGAAGUACUGGCCGAGGGGCAAACCCAGCCCUGGGGUGGGGAGAGUCAGAUCGGGAGCAUAGGGCUGGAAACAAGGAUCUGGAAAAGUCUUGGGAGGUUGGCUGCUUAGCAGUUGCCAGAAGUUCCUAUCUGUUUCGUGGGGCCUUGGGCAUCACUAUUGACAUCCAAACUCUUUCUUCCACACCUCCUUCUGCAGGCCAGGACAGAUGCCACUCCGGAGUGCCUCCUCCACAGCUCCAUCCAGGCCCUCGCUGGGACACUCCUCAGCCACAUCUCUCUGAUCCGCGGCUUCCAUCGGAGCCAUGACCCCAGCCCCCACCUCACUGCCCUCCUCACAGCUCAUACGCAGUGAAUCCAGUCAACCAGCUCAAGACCAAUGAACACUUGGCUGAAGAUUCUAGAAAUUGGAGAGGACACUUGUGACUGAGCAGCAUGUCUGGCAAUGAGACAUCAAGAGAGUCCUGACGCUGAUGGAGGCCUUCACCUGUUGACAGGAUGGCUCUGUGUCAUCCCAGAGAGGGAUGCCAUCACCAGAGAGCACGUCAUAAGGACAAAACACUACUUCCUUCCUUCUUCUCUCAUGCUGCAGCUUGGGGGUCCCACCUUUCGGUGCAGCUAAAUGGCCACGUUCAGCUCGACCCUAUGUGACCCUUGAAGUGUACCUCCUUUGUUCAGAGACCAAUUCGGAAUCGGGCAUGAUCCGACCCUGGCCAGAGUGACCGUGCCACUCUGCUUGGCGACAGAGUUUGCCCAUCAAAUGAGUAAUGAAAAUAAGGUGGCAGCAGACGUGUUGAGUGAAUGAAAAGAACGAGUGCCAGGCACGGGCCGCAUCGCAUGGGCAGCAGCUUCCCGAACCUGCCAAGCCCUCUCCCGGCUCGCUGGCAGGAACGCCGCCUCUCUCCUCCGUGCCUCGGCCUGGUGAGGAAAUGAAGGCUCCAGGAGGUGAAGCGACUUGUCCAAGGACUCAGGUGGCUGGAGGUGAAGUCAAAAGUCAAACCAGGCAUGGCCCACUCCCAAGUCCAAGUGUUUUCCUGUUACAUCAGGCAGCCCUCCGACAGGACGACUCUGUCUGGGCCUGCCCAGUCCCUGAGUCCAGGUGGUCUUGGGGUUCACCUGGGUCACAGGACAGGGACACUCUGGCCAUGAGGUGGUCAUCGUUCACUUUUCCAGCCAGUCUACCGGCCAAUGCUCAUCAAGCUCCCUCCUCGGGCCCAGGCCAGGGGGUGUAAACAGCAUCCAGAAGGCACGAUUUCUCAAGAUGCUUCAUCAAAUGAAAGACGGGUUUUUUAGCCUCUAGAUUUACAACGUGCCAGCGAAGGGCUGCAAGCUGGCCCGGCGGACACGCAGGCAAAGCAGAAUGGGAAGAGACCCCUGGCAGGAGGCUUGCGGGACGAUGGUCUGUGCCCGUUUGAGGAGGAUUCAGUGCCAACACUGAGGGGCAUGGCCAGACAGGAGAGGGCCAGGCUAGAGAAGCAGGUUGGACUGCUUUCGAGGGUGGGGUUUGGCAGGUAACUGAGGAGCGAUUAAGAGGGAGAAAUAAAGAAGAGUGUCAGAAGGAGGAGGGGAGAAAGAGUGAGGGCUGCUCAGUAUAAUACCAAAUAGAUACCUUCCGUCUAGCGAGCACUCCAGGGCCAGGCACUGUGAUGAGGGUUUUGCAUAUCCUACAAGGUAAAUGUUAAUAUUCUUAUUUUACAGAUGAGGAAACCAAGGUUCAGAGAGAUUAAGUACUUCAGCUGAAGACACACAGCUGGUAAAAAUCAGUCUGACUUCAAACCCCAUCCUCUUAACCACUGAAAUAUCUGCUGAGUGAAGAAGUGAGAGAUCUUGUGGCGGAACGUGCUGUCAGGGGUGCUGGAAAUGGGAAGCUGGCUCCACCUCCCCUCUGGACGGCUGGUAUCUUUGGAAAUAGAGAUGCUCUGGAGCUGAUGGCUUUUCCUGUAAUGGUUUCGGCCUGUUUGGGCUUUCACACUUCAGACUACAGCCUCAGCCACUGAUGUUUGCUCACUUAUCUACUCUUUUUACAGGAAAAAUGCCAAUGAAUUUUUAAUCAAAUUGAGCUUGAGUGUUUGACCAGUGAAUCAGAAAGGCUUCCAAGUCUUAGGAUGGUGGUGGUUGUGGGGGAGAAAUUCAUCCCCAUCUGCCCGGAAGGAGGCGGUGCUGCCCGGAGUGGGCUCCUGGGGCUCCCCCCACCCGACACACACCUCCAGCCCCACCCUAGGGUCUGGCACAGGAGGGCGGACCCAUCCCACAGGCCUUCCUGGAGGCUCGCCCAGCUCUCUGGGUAAUCGUGUCUCUCAGGGGGCAGCAGCUGGUGCGGGCGCUGCUGGGGGACAAAAUCCAGCUGCAUGAGGAUGGUCUGGCCCGAGAGGUGGUCACACUUCUCCUGUGAGGGGCUCUGUCCCGUGCUCCUGCCCUCCUCCGUCCCCUCCCCCUCC